AUUUUUUUUUAAAGUUAGUAUAUAUAAAAAUUUGCAAAUUGUAUCUAUCUAUUAAAUAUUUUUAUUUUAUAGUUUACAAUUGUUAUUAAGUAACGUCCUGCCAAACCCGUACCGCCAACCCGUCCCGUAAAAAAAUUUAUUUAUUUUAUUAAUGUUGAUUUUAUUUAUGAUAUGUUUAUGAAUCAUUGUUUAAAUAUUUUGUAAUUUUGUAGUAAUUAAUUGCUAUCAAAUAUCUCUAUGGUUUGCGGCUUAUAAUCGAAUUGUUAUAAUCAUGAAAAAAAGCAAUAUCAAAAAUGAUAAUUUUGUAGUGUUUAAAUCAUAUUAAUU
rnacentral:sRNA from 1 species